CACAAGUUAGAUUCAAACAUAUUAUGGUUAAGGUACAUACAGAUUUUUUUUUUUUUUUAAACUGAUUAAGCAUCAGGUUACUGUAUUACACAGAGAUACUUAUAAAUAACAACAUAUCAUUGCACUGAUAUUUACAAUCAGAUAUAUACCUGGGAUUUACAUUAUUACAUUUUUAUUCUAUGAAGUACAUGCCCAGCCAAAUACCCCUCAAGGAAGAGGGAUGUCUUGACUCCAAAUGACAACAUAUCAUUGCACUGAUAUUUACAAUCAGAUAUAUACCUGGGAUUUACAUUAUUACAUUUUUAUUCUAUGAAGUACAUGCCCAGCCAAAUACCCCUCAAGGAAGAGGGAUGUCUUGACUCCAAAUGACAACAUAUCAUUGCACUGAUAUUUACAAUCAGAUAUAUACCUGGGAUUUACAUUAUUACAUUUUUAUUCUAUGAAGUACAUGCCCAGCCAAAUACCCCUCAAGGAAGAGGGAUGUCUUGACUCCAAAUGACAACAUAUCAUUGCACUGAUAUUUACAAUCAGAUAUAUACCUGGGAUUUACAUUAUUACAUUUUUAUUCUAUGAAGUACAUGCCCAGCCAAAUACCCCUCAAGGAAGAGGGAUGUCUUGACUCCAAAUGACAACAUAUCAUUGCACUGAUAUUUACAAUCAGAUAUAUACCUGGGAUUUACAUUAUUACAUUUUUAUUCUAUGAAGUACAUGCCCAGCCAAAUACCCCUCAAGGAAGAGGGAUGUCUUGACUCCACUCGCAUUUCGCAAGGGAGAAAGACGUUAUAAACAAUCUCCACACAAUUAUAACUAAUUGAGGAAGUUUGAGUUCGUGGAGACUCGAACCAUUGCCCUCAUAGUCAUGCUUGACUUUAAGGGCAAUGGUUCACCACCGGGCCACAAGCCCAAGUGGC
rnacentral:lncRNA from 1 species